rnacentral:rRNA from 1 species
GUAGGUGGCAAGCGUUGUCCGGAAUUAUUGGGCGUAAAGCGCGCGCAGGCGGUUCCUUAAGUCUGAUGUGAAAGCCCACGGCUCAACCGUGGAGGGUCAUUGGAAACUGGAGAACUUGAGUACAGAAGAGGAAAGCGGAAUUCCACGUGUAGCGGUGAAAUGCGUAGAGAUGUGGAGGAACACCAGUGGCGAAGGCGGCUUUCUGGUCUGUAACUGACGCUGAGGCGCGAAAGCGUGGGGAGCAAACAGGGAUUAGAUACCCUGGUAGUCCACGCCGUAAACGAUGAGUGCUAAGUGUUAGGGGGUUUCCGCCCCCUUAGUGCUGCAGCUAACGCAUUAAGCACUCCGCCUGGGGAUACGGCCGCAAGGCUG